rnacentral:lncRNA from 1 species
CAUCUGAUAUUUGUAGUGGAUCCUCGUCAAUCUUCAUCUGUUGUCUGGAUUUCUCUCCAAACUUCAACCUUCCAUCUUUCAAAGCCUUUUGAACCAGAUCCCUGAAAAGAACACAUUGUGAGGUUUUAUGACCCAAAAAAUUAUGAAAUUUGCAAAAACCUCUUUUCUUUUGUUGUUCAAGGGGAGGCACUUUAAAUCCCUUUGGAACAACAAUUUGGCCAUCAG